rnacentral:rRNA from 1 species
CCUGGCGGCGUGCUUAACACUUGACAAGUCGAACGAACCCUUCGGGUUAGUGGCGGACGGGUGAGUAACGCAAAUCUGCCCUCAGGAGGGGGACAACAGUUGGAAACGACUGCUAAUACCCCAUAUGCCGCGAGGUGAAAUGAAUUUCGCCUGAGGAUGAGCUCGCGUCUGAUUAGCUUGUUGGUGUAGGUAAUGGCUCACCAAGGGCAUCGAUCAGUAGCUGGUCUGAGAGGAUGAUCAGCCACACUGGGACUGAGACACGGCCCAGACUCCUACGGGAGGCAGCAGUGGGGAAUUUUCCGCAAUGGGCGAAAGCCUGACGGAGCAACGCCGCGUGAGGGAUGAAGGCCUCUGGGCUGUAAACCUCUUUUAUCAAGGAAGAAGAUCUGACGGUACUUGAUGAAUAAGCCACGGCUAAUUCCGUGCCAGCAGCCGCGGUAAUACGGGAGUGGCAAGCGUUAUCCGGAAUUAUUGGGCGUAAAGCGUCCGCACGCGGCCCUUCAAGUCUGCUGUAAAAAGUGGAGCUUAACUCCAUCAUGGGCAGUGGAAACUGUUGGGCUUGAAGUGUGGUAGGGGCAGAGGGAAUUCCCGGGUGUAACAGGGUAGAAAUGCGUAGAUAUCGGGGA